GACGCACGCUGGCGGCGUGCUUAACACAUGCAAGUCGAACGAAGUGGCGAACGGGUGAGUAACGCGUAAUCACCCUGCCCUUCCGAGGGGGACAACAGUUGGAAACGACUGCUCAUACCUCAUCCUGAAGUCGGGGAUUGCGUCUGAUUAGCUAGUUGGAGGGGUAACUGCCCACCAAGGCGAUGAUCAGUAGCCGGUCUGAGAGGAUGAACGGCCACAGUGGGACUGAGACACGGCCCAGACGCCUACGGGAGGCAGCAGUGGGGAAUCUUCCGCAAUGGACGAAAGUCUGACGGAGCAACGCCGCGUGAGUGAUGACGGCCUUCGGGUUGUAAAGCUCUGUUAAUCGGGACGCGGUACCGGAAUAGAAAGCCACGGCUAACUACGUGCCAGCCGCCGCGGUAAUAC
rnacentral:rRNA from 1 species